AAGAAGUAAGACCAUAUAUAUAUUACUAAAAAGGUUCUUAAAUAUAUUCAAGGAUGGGGCAUUUCUUAAUUCGUCAUGUAAUGAGUUCCAGUCUCUAAUGGUAAACGGAAAGAAGGAGUUGUAAAACGAAGACGUUUUACUUUCUAUGGUACGGAUGCAGUCUUGAUUACGUAAGUUAUAUCUGGAUUCACUAAUUCUCGUAGGGAUCAGAGAGUUGAGGUAGCCAGGGACCAGAGAAUGCUGAAUUUUGUAAAACAAUUUUAAUUUAUUAAUAUAACGUCUAUUUUCAAGCGUUCGCAGAUUGGAGAACAGGAAAAUAUUUAUGAGAAAUUAUAACUCAGAAUAUCUGCCAUUGAGAACUACCAAGGAUGGAGUUGGAUGGCAAUUAAAGGAGCUGAAAUCUAGAUGCAAAGAGCACUGUGAUGUGAUUUGUACAGGCCAAGGUGUUCAAGUUUUACAAGCAUACUGAAAUGGUGUUAGACAGACUUUCCACAACAGUGUUAUGGAGAUAAAAUGAAGUAUUCAUUUCUCCAAUACUGAGCAGAUAUAUUGAAUUCAGCAAAUACAAUGCCAUUUCAGCUUGAUAAAUUCUGUAAGGGUGUUGAUGGAUUUGAUUUUGUUUGAUGCAGAAAACGUUAAAAUAUGAACACUGCUUUAGUUUUUGGAAAGAAUUGUUGUGAAGUGGUGAUCUGCCAAGAUGUUCUAGUUCUACUUACAUACAGCAGUGUGACAGCAUAUGUCUUGGGGAAAAACAUCAGGCUGUCAAAACAGAGACCGGAUACUAAAGACUGUGUUCACAGCGCUGUGUGCUUUUUGACAGAACGGAGAUAGACUUUUUACCAUUAAAAAUGAAUAGACUCUGGUGUAUUUUAAAUUUGCAUGUAUUGUUUGUAUGAUGAACUGUGCCCAUACCAGAGUCGAUGCCCAUAAAAGGCACAGUUUUGCUUGUUGAGUUUGUCUUUAUUUAUUAAUGAUGAUAACAGUCACUAAAGAGAAGUACUCCGA